rnacentral:rRNA from 1 species
CCUACGGGAGGCUGCAGUGGGGAAUAUUGCACAAUGGGGGAAACCCUGAUGCAGCGACGCCGCGUGCGUGAAGAAGUAUCUCGGUAUGUAAAGCUCUAUCUGCAGGGAAGUAGAAAGACGGUACCUGACUAAGAAGCAACGGCUAAAUACGUACCAGCAGCCGCGGUCAUACGCAGGGGUCACGCGUUAUCCGGAUUUCCUGGGUUUAAAGGGAGCGUAGACGGUUGUGCAAGUCUGAGGUGAAAGGCCAGGGCUUAACCCUGGGACUGCUUUGGAAACUGUGGAGCUAGAGUGCUGGGGAGGUAAGUGGAAUUGCUGGUGUAGCGGUGAAAUGCGUAGAGAUAUGGAAGAACACCGAUUGCGAAGGCAGCCGCCUGGCCUAUUACUGACGUUGAGGUACGAAAGCGUGGGGAGCAAAUAGGAUUAGAUACCCUUGUAGUC